rnacentral:tRNA from 1 species
AGUCGCCCAUGUCCCAAGGCUGGCGAGUUGGACUCCAAAUCCGACUGAGCGGGGUUCGAUUCCCUGGGUGAUUGCCA